CAUGACUUUCUUGAACGUCUCUCUAUCAGUGUGACCAUUGAGAUCAUGGCGCUGCAAGUACUCAACAUUGGCAUUUCGAGAGAGGAUUUCAGCAAGAACUCUCUUUUGGACCUCAUCAACGUUGAUCGUUACCUCUUCAAUGAAUUGAAGAGUCUUCUUGUUUUCCUCCACUAUACUUCCCUCAGUGGCCUUCAUCGGGCUCUUUGAUGCCUCAGGUAUGGUUCUUUCCAUAUUAAUAAAGACGUGGCUGAGUAAAAAAAAUUGUUACUAGGUGAACAAAAUGUAUAUAUAGAGGCAUUUUGGGAGAUUAAAUCCCGAUAGAGAUGAGUGUAUUGACUAUAGGUUCAACUGAAUCCAGUAUUUACUCAUAAAUAUAUCAAGUCCGUCCUUUUUGAACUUCGUCUCUGAUAGUACAAAAAUAUGUAUCACUACAUAUACAUUUUCUUUUUGAUAAUUGUGAUCUGGCUCUGGAUCAAAAGUAACCUAAAAAUCUGUGCCCAUAAGUCUCAAAUAUCUUGUUGUCUUUUUGUUUAUUCUCAGGUACAACUGGAUUCUGAAAUGUGAACUAUAAGUUAAUUAAUAUAAAAUUAAUUUAUUUAGCAGAUUCGACUUCGUGAUGCGAUGUGCUCAUACAUCCACGCGUUGUGCUCUUACCAGUAGACUAAUGCCUUAGGCAUUAGAAGUAUGUUAUCAUUUACAGAAAGUUUCUGUUUUUUUCUUCUUUCUGAAAUGCUUUUUGAGCAGAGAAAGAUAGAGGGAUGAACCUAUAUUAUCCACCAAGUUUCUAACCGUACGUCAUUGACCCUCGAAAUUUUUUCGAUUAUCAAAAAGAAAAGAAAUGUACAAAUUAACAAAGAAUAUAAAACAGCAUGGCCAGAUCAUUACUGAAUUGCAGAAAGUUGCAAUAAUAAUAAUAAUAAUAUUUCCCAUCCGUCUGACAUGUUUUUUUAAAAAAAUAUACAUGUUAAGUUAUGACAAAAGAUAUGGUCAGACAAUCAUUUACAUGUGUUUCAUGUCAUCAUGUGUUUAACUUUAUUUUUCCCCUUCAAAUUUCAUGUGGAACUUUUUUUUUUUUUCUAAACCUGGUGAUCGGUACCAAUAUUGGGGUACCUAUAUUGGAGCUUGACAAAAACCAGAUUCGCGAUUUGCAGGCCCAAUUUUUUGGGGUGGCGCUCCCAACAAUUCCCUUCUAGGGAUCAAACCCGAGACUUCUGAUUUAACUUAAACUUCACAUUUCACCUUAACGACAAAUAUUUAUUAGACACACAAAUUUUAUCGCAUGUUUCAGAUAAAAUAUUAUUUUGUUAAUGGUAGCUAGUGUGGUGUAUUAGUUGAGUGGGUUAACUGCUCUACAAGUUGUUAGUAUUAGAUUAGUGAUGAUUAGUUAAAUGGUUAGUACAGCUAUUGAAAUCUCAGCUGUUAAGUUUUCUUCCUUGUAUGUACCAUUGCAAAGUCUGUUCAAUUCAAAGAGAAAAAAAGGUUGGUAAAUCUCUAUACUUAUUUCUUGGUUAAAGAACAUAUUUAUAUAUUAUGCUUUUCUUAAACUCUGUGUUCAAUCAAAUUAAGACACUUUUGUGAAACUUGACAAAAGAGAUUGCUCGAAUUGUAAGCACCGUCUUAAAAUUGGUGGACUCUAAUUGGAUUUAAGUAGUAGGCCCAAGUUAGAUAGAAACGGGACCCAAAAAUACAAAUUAAUUUCAUAUUUCUUCUGUAUUUGCUGGCGAAAUACGUGAUCUUGCUUUUCUCCUUUUCCGGCGAACUAAUGUCUGUUCAUUUUUCCGGCGAAAUUAAGUUUGUAAGUUCCUUUUCACGAGUUAUGGAUUUUGUUUCAACUCUUUUUGCUAACUUUUCUGCAUAAAGAAACCAUUAAAUUCAAUUUUUACGAUUAAUUUAAUGAUUUUAUCAAGUUAAAAUGCAUCAUUAUCUGUUUAUCAUGUUAACAAAUUUUCUGACAAUUUUUUUUAUCGGAACAAUUAAGACCAUAAAAGAUGGAACUUUCAUGAUUUCAUUGAUCAUUGAAGUUGAAAGUUUGGCAAGGCUAGAAUCUUUGAACCGUAGUUUCUUGUCCUUAGAUUUCUUUUACUAUAUGUUGAUUCCUUGUAGCUCGAUAAUCGUAUUAUUUAUUACUAUGUGCUGUUUUUGUAUUAUGUGUUGCCUCUUAGGUAGGGUAAGGUCUGCGUACACUCUACCGUCUCUAGCCUCACUUUGUGGGAUUACACUAGGUAUGUUGUUGUUGCUAGUAGCUUUUAACUGCACCAAGUAGAAAAUUAAAGUUUGGGUACUGAAAAUCGAUCGGUUUUGGUGAUCAAUAAAGUGGGUUUAGAACUAUGAGGUCUUAGGAUUCAUAGAGUUAUUCGAUAUGUUUGAGGUGCGGACAAGUUGGUACGGACUCCACGGUUAUUAAUUAAAAAACAUUUAUUGCAUAUUUUUCUUGUUUCAACCUCCAUCAAGAAGGUGUUUGUGACAUUGUUGCAUAUAUUGGUGGGAGUGCAAUGCAUGAAAUCCUUAGUGUGGAGAAGGAUUUUUGUCUUUUUCCGAGUUUGUUUCUACAAUCUAAACUUGGUGGCAUGAAAAGAAUGCUACUUUUAUUUUCCUUUUGUUUCCUAAAAAUAUCAGAUUCAAAACAUUCUUGACAACUAUGAUUUUGACUUGCUGAUAUUAGUACAUCAUUUUCGUGGCAAUUUUGAGAAGGCUAGAGCUUAACUGAAUCUUAAUUCUUGAUGUACUGCUGAUAUUUCCUGUGUUUUAGGAUCUGAGAGAUGCGCAGAACCUUGUCAUAUCUGAAGGGUUUAAUCAUCUAAUCCUUUCGAAUCAAGCACUUGCAAUUGCAUCGUAAGUUUUCCGAAAAUGGCAUCUGACUACAAAGGUUUGUGUUCACCUUCCAUCUUGUUCUUCUUUCAAUUGUUAUGGAUGAUAUGAUGACAUUUUUUCCUCUUGCAUGUAAUAUCUUACCUCACAGGAAAAGCUGUUGUUUUUAUGGGUGUAAGCGGAGCUGGAAAAUCGUAAGGUUUCAAGUUACUUACUAAUUUGGUUUAACCAAAAGAAUUGUAUAGGUCAUUGAUCAGUUUCUAACUGCUUGUAUAGUCAAACUAGAUCUUAACAAAGAAUUUCAAGAUUGUAGAAGCAAAGAUAUUGUUGGAAUGUAUGCGUCCACCUAUGUAGAUGGGACUAGGUCCUCAACACAGUUAUAGUGAUAAACAAUAAAGAACAAAUGCUGAAAGUAAAGAUUGACAAUCAAUUUUACGUGGAAACUUCCUUGCUCAAGGGAGUAAAACCACGACCUGUUCUCAACAGGACUUUUCAAAUUGCUUCCACUAAUCUUCUUCAAGCAAAAGUAAAAGCCAGUUUACAAAAUGAGAUUAACCUGCUAAUCUCCACACUAAGCAAUACCUCCUAUCACUUAGCUGAGCCAGAGCAGAUACAACACUGCCCACUAUACUAAUCCUAACCGAUUAAUAUAGCCUUUUAGAGUAAGAAACUAAGUUACCCUUAACCUAGUUCUUGCAAUGAUUCACACAAGUUUGAAACAUUUCUUUCACAGAUGAAACGAAUCCUACAAUAUAAGAACUAUUAUAAGCAAAAAAAAACUACAGCUAGUACAGAAAGCAAUAGAAACACUUCUAUCAGGUCCCUUGCUAUUUUUGAAGCUUGAAAAUAUCUCUCUUUGAAUGAAUGAUAAAUAAUGUUGUUUGUUGUUUGAUAUAAACCAUGAAGAAUUAUUAUCCAAUGUACAAACAAUCUCGUCGCUUCUGAUUGGUGAAGUACUCUGCAGCUUCACCAACUUUCUGACGCGGACAGCUUU
rnacentral:lncRNA from 1 species